rnacentral:rRNA from 1 species
AUUGAACGCUGGCGGCAGGCCUAACACAUGCAAGUCGAGCGGAGCGGCGGACGGGUGAGUAAUGCCUAGGAAUCUGCCUGGUAGUGGGGGAUGACGUCCGGAAACGGGCGCUAAUAUCGCAUACUAUCAGAUAAGCCUAGGUCGGAUUAGCUAGUUGGGGGGGUAAAGGACUACCAAGGCGACGACCCGGAACUGGUCUGAGAGGAUGAUCAGUCACACUGGAACUGAGACACGGUCCAGACUCCUACGGGAGGCAGCAGUGGGGAAUAUUGGACAAUGGGCGAAAGCCUGAUCCAGCCAUGCCGCGUGUGUGAAGAAGGUCUUCGGAUUGUAAAGCACUUUAAGUUGGGAGGCGUUACCUACAGAAUAAGCACCGGCUAACUUCGUGCCAGCAGCCGCGGUAAUUC